AGCGAACGCUGGCGGCAGGCCUAACACAUGCAAGUCGAACGAACCUUUCGGGGUUAGUGGCGGACGGGUGAGUAACACGUGGGAACGUGCCUUUAGGUUCGGAAUAACUCAGGGAAACUUGUGCUAAUACCGAAUGUGCCCUUCGGGGGAAAGAUUAAUCGCCGUUAGAGCGGCCCGCGUCUGAUUAGCUAGUUGGUUGAGGUAAUGGCUCACCAAGGCGACGAUCAGUAGCUGGUCUGAGAGGAUGAUCAGCCACAUUGGGACUGAGACACGGCCCAAACUCCUACGGGAGGCUGCGGUGGGGAAUCUUGCGCAAUGGGCGAAAGCCUGACGCAGCCAUGCCGCGUGAAUGAUGAAGGUCUUAGGAUUGUAAAAUUCUUUCACCGGGGACGAUAAUGACGGUACCCGGAGAAGAAGCCCCGGCUAACUUCGUG
rnacentral:rRNA from 1 species